UUAACCUUGACCGACAGUUCGAAGGGCGGGCUCUGUCUGAGAAGGCGGUCGCCAUGAAAGGACUAGGAGGAGGAAUGGCCAGGAUGGGAUUAAAGAUAGGGAGAGUUUGGAGCCCCAUAUAAAUCAUGCAUCUUUUUUUCACAGUUGGCGGUGAAAUUUUGAAUUCUGAAAUUGUGUUCUCACCUUUCACAUAACAUACAUUUUGAAAUAUAUUCAAAGUAAUAAUUACACUUUAAAGGUUAAAUAUUAUUAAGAAUCAAUAUUAUUCGACGUCGAAAGAUCCGUGAAGUUUUAAAGUGAGUAAAAAAAAGUAGACGUCAAACUCUCCCCACAAAGAAGCCUGCCGCUUGUUUUAUAUUUUUUUUCAGCUGAGGUGGUUCGUUAUGUCACAAAUGUGGUUCAUCAGACAAGCACAGCGUCACUGAUUAAUCAUUUUACAUAUACUCUCAAUAUUGAACGAUUUAACAUUGCUGUGUGUGGAGAGUCAAAGUAUUUACUACGAUCUCUUCGCCCGGGUUAGAAGAGCAAUUCAUUCUAUAAGUUCUAGAUCAUCUUUGCUGAUGACCAGAUCUACUUGAGCCGAUAGGUGUCUGAGUAUGGCAUCAUACCACAUGGAAGCUUUAAGGAAACAGCGAUUACUUGACAGAAAGAUUGCAGCCAUGGACUUGUUAGAAGAAUUCCUUUCAUUUUAGAAAGAAUCUGAGACCUGUGAAUGUGCAAAAUCUUCAGCGGCCAAAAGAGGUUCAAAGUCUUCAUCACCCAAAAAAGGUUCAAAGCCUUCAGCGCCCAAAAAAGGUUCAAAGCCUUCAGCGCCCAAAAAAGGUUCAAAGUCUUCAGCAUCCAAAAGAAGGACAGAAUCUUCAGCAUCCACAAUAAGUUCAGAAUCUUCAGAAUGUACUGAUAAGUCAAGAUCAUCAGGGUCCACUCCAACCAGAUCUACAAAGCUAAGCUCAAGAAACAUAACACCUUUCAGCCCUACAAAAGCAAGUUGUUCCAAGACCCCAAGGAGCCGGUUUCAAAGUAUACCACCAGGAAUGUCCCCAUAUUGGGCUCAUCACUUGAGGAGGCAAGCCAGAAUCCUGAGAGACCAUGGUCUGGUGAUGGGAAACUUGGUACAUUUUAUGGACUGAGAUUUUUUGUUGUAUUACCAGAUAUGAUGCUUUCCUGACAAUGAGAUAACAAUCCAUUAUCUGGCAACAUAUCAAGACCAAUUUGAAGAAAUACAUCAUCAAUUUCAAGUUCCCUCAACUAACUUUCAAAAUAAAAU